AAUUAGAUACAUUGAAAGCAUAAAGAUGUUUUCAGAAUUUGAAUUGUUUGAAUUACAGAAUCCAAAAAUAGUUUCUCAAAACAAAAUCUAGAUUGGCUACCAAAUGCAUAUUCACUAACAUAGUAAAUCUGAAAACAUAAAACAAAAUUCAAAUUGCCAUUACAAGAAAAAAUAUUUUUAGCGACAAAUUUUUAGUGGUACAAGUAAUUUUUGUUGGUAAAAGGCUACUUAUAUCAACACGUUAAAGGUAUGUCACAAAAUAUAUCAUUAUAGCAACACGUUAAAGAUAUAUCAUUAUUAGCAACACAUUUUUAAUCCACGUCACUAAAAGAUUUUGCAAUAUGACAAUUAACGCCACUAAAUAUUAAAUACUUUUAGUAACAUAUUAAAAUAUUACUAAAUAUAUGGCCAAAUUAUUCCCCUCCCCCAUCUAUUUUACAUUCCCCUUUUAUUUUAAUUUUUUAGUUUUUGCUUUCCCCCCUUAAUUUUACCUUUGCCUUUGAUGAAGCCCUCCACGCGAACCACUCGAACAAGAAGAUGACUCUGCACCCAUGCGAACGACGUUGAACGCUGGCCACUCCUCACGCGAACGGCGCUAAACGCCGACCAAUCCUCACGUGAAUGGCGUUGAACUCCGACCACUCCUCACGCGAACGCUAAACUCUGGUCACUCCUCACGCAAACGGCACUGAUCCCUGGCCACUCAAACGGGAUUUAUGUCUUGUUCGUGAUGAGCUAGUGCGAGAUUUCAUAAAGUUCAAUUUAGAUGAAAAUGCAAAGAAUUUGGUGUAUGAUUUAUGAUAUCAUGUGUGUGAUAUUAUUUACAAUUAUGUGAAAAGUUUAAAUCAUUGUUACCCUUUA